GCCCGAGUGGUGAAAUUGGUAGACGCAGUGGACUCAAAAUCCACCGAGUGAUGAGCUCGUGCCGGUUCGAGUCCGGCCUUGGGCACCA
rnacentral:tRNA from 1 species